UCUCCUCUCCACCCUCGCUCACCUCGCCGCCAUCGAACUCGCCGCUGCCCCCACCGCUUCCGCAUCGCUACUUCACCGGACACUUUCGAUCCGCAGUGGACACCUUCCAUAGCGACCUCAGCGGACACCUUCGAUCCGCACGCACCUCCACCUCACCGGCCAGAUCGAUCCGCACGCACCUCCACCUCACCGGCUGCCCCUAGUCGUCUCAACCGAUGCGACCCCUGGCCGGCCGUGCGUCAUCCCGGGAUUAAUAGGUUUCUCCGUCUGGGCAUAGAAGAGGCAUUGGAUUGCAGAAAUUUCGGUCUAUUGGGAGCGCCCCAUCUCCAAAUCAGAGGACGUUAGUGCCGAGGUCAUCAUCAAGACCAUUUUGCUCGUGGCCUCCCUCAGAUCUCUUAGAUGUUCCUCCUUGGAAACAUCCGUCUACACGACGGUGCCCUGUUCAAUUAUGCAUCAACCCAGCGGCCGUGAUUAUAUGUUCUGGCUGGCAUGUCCCCUGAGCAUGCGCAACAAUAUUGUCCUGAACCACAAUGGCACUAUGUCUAGAUGGAACAACCUAACCAUGUAACAUGUUUGUGUUGUAUAUGGAGGCAAAAUUCUGAUCAUCAUUAGAAGAAAAAAAUAUUUUCCUAUAGAAGCAAAUUCUAUUGUUCGUUGGAAGCAAUGACGACAGAAAACAAUAUUUGCUUCAUUGGAAGAAGCCUCUAUUUUGU